rnacentral:siRNA from 1 species
UACACAAGACUCGGUCCGGG